CCCCUCUCCUCACCUGGAGAGUUUCCAGUACUCUACCAGUCUCGGCUACGGGAGGGAGAGUCAAGCAGAGGCCUGUCCAUUCCAUUCCUAGCUUGGGCAGUGGCUAACGAGUGGAAGGCCAUCUGCUACAAGU
rnacentral:snoRNA from 1 species